GAACGCUGGCGGCGUGCCUAAUACAUGCAAGUAGAACGCUGAAGAGAGGAGCUUGCUCUUCUUGGAUGAGUUGCGAACGGGUGAGUAACGCGUAGGUAACCUGCCUUGUAGCGGGGGAUAACUAUUGGAAACGAUAGCUAAUACCGCAUAACAAUGGAUGACACAUGUCAUUUAUUUGAAAGGGGCAAUUGCUCCACUACAAGAUGGACCUGCGUUGUAUUAGCUAGUAGGUGAGGUAAUGGCUCACCUAGGCGACGAUACAUAGCCGACCUGAGAGGGUGAUCGGCCACACUGGGACUGAGACACGGCCCAGACUCCUACGGGAGGCAGCAGUAGGGAAUCUUCGGCAAUAGGGGCAACCCUGACCGAGCAACGCCGCGUGAGUGAAGAAGGUUUUCGGAUCGUAAAGCUCUGUUGUAAGUCAAGAACGGGUGUGAGAGUGGAAAGUUCACACUGUGACGGUAGCUUACCAGAAAGGGACGGCUAACUACGUG
rnacentral:rRNA from 1 species